rnacentral:tRNA from 1 species
GCGCUGUUGGUUUAGUGGUAGAAUAUCUCGUUGCCAACGAGGUGGCCCGAGUUCGAUUCUCGGACAGCGCA